rnacentral:rRNA from 1 species
UUGUAAUUGUGCCAGCCGCCGCGGUAAUACGUAUGGGGCAAGCGUUAUCCGGAUUUACUGGGUGUAAAGGGAGCGUAGGCGGCAUGGCAAGUCAGAAGUGAAAGCCUGGGGCUCAACCCCGGAAUUGCUUUUGAAACUGUCAGGCUAGAGUGUCGGAGGGGUAAGCGGAAUUCCUAGUGUAGCGGUGAAAUGCGUAGAUAUUAGGAGGAACACCGGUGGCGAAGGCGGCUUACUGGACGAUUACUGACGCUGAGGCUCGAAAGCGUGGGGAGCAAACAGG